UACGACUACAUAUCAGGCAUAUCAAUAAGCGGAGGAAAAGAAACUAACAAGGAUUCCCUUAGUAACGGCGAGUGAAGCGGGAAGAGCUCAAAUUUGAAAUCUUCAAGGUUUUACCUUGACGAAUUGUAGUUUAAAGAAGUGUUUUCUGUUGAAGUUUUGGUAAAAGUUCUUUGGAAUAGGACAUCGUAGAGGGUGAGAAUCCCGUAUUUGACCAUUAUUUUCAGCUGUGUGAUACACUUUCAAAGAGUCGGAUUGUUUGGGAAUGCAGUCCAAAAUGGGUGGUAAAUUUCAUCUAAAGCUAAAUAUUGGCGAGAGACCGAUAGCGAACAAGUACCGUGAGGGAAAGAUGAAAAGAACUUUGAAAAGAGAGUUAAACAGUACGUGAAAUUGUCAAAAGGGAAGCGUUUGACACCAGUGUUGUUUUCUCGAAAAUCAAUUAAACAAAGUUGGAUUUUGUGUUGUAUUGACCUUAACAGCUUGCUUCACUCUUUUCCAGCUUUUUUUAAUGCACUUUUCGUUUAACAAGUCAACAUCAGUUUCUUUUGUUGUAAAAGGGUCAUUGGAAGGUGGCUUUCUCUUCGGAGAAAGUGUUUAUAGCCUUUGAUCUCUGCAAUCGGAGAGACUGAGGUCUGCAGCGUAGAUCCUUCGGGGUUAGAUACAUUUGUGCUAAGCUACAGCUUUUCAUAGACAACUUGUUGACUAUGUUUAGUCUUGUGACUUACCCGCUUAUGCUAUUUUACCUACGCUUAGGAUGUUGAGCGCAUGUCUCUCUCU
rnacentral:rRNA from 1 species